GGCCGGAUGGUGUAGUUGGUUAUCACGUGUCCUUAACAUUUUCCAAUGUUCGGACAAGGUCCUGGGAUCGAGCCCCAGUCUGGUCA